rnacentral:rRNA from 1 species
GACAGAGGAUGCAAGCGUUAUCCGGAAUCACUGGGCGUAAAGCGUCUGUAGGUGGUUUAAUAAGUCAACUGUUAAAUCUUGAGGCUCAACUUCAAAAUCGCAGUCGAAACUAUUAGACUAGAGUAUAGUAGGGGUAAAGGGAAUUUCCAGUGGAGCGGUGAAAUGCGUAGAGAUUGGAAAAGAACACCAAUGGCGAAAGCACUUUACUGGGCUAUCACUGACACUGAGAGACGAAAGCUAGGGUAGCAAAUGGG